ACCAGUUUUCUCACCAGGAAAAUAUUCCUCUAGAUCACCUGUCAGUGAGCGCGUAUUUGCUCAGUGAAGGCUACGGCGGUAAGAUUUAUGACCACAUCAUAAAUAACACUGAUUGACAAAGAACUUCCUCCGAACUCUUUGAUCUCCAGACAAACAUGAUACCUGUGUAACAGAGUGCAUUAUAAAUUUAGAGCCAACACAUGCAUUUGGGUCAGGGUUGUUUGGGGUUUUUUUUGUCCCUGUGAUCAGUAUUUGGGGCUGACCCACACUUGCUUUGAAUGGUGGCUUACUUUCUGAGUGCCCUUUUUAUCUCUUACAGGAUGGAACAGAAGGGGACUCCUCUUUGGAAAGAUAGAAUUUGCUGAAGCUCUGGUUUUUGACCAGCUCUCAGAACCACUCUCAGGAGUCAUCCACGUGCUCGGUGGUUGCUGCUCUCUUCAGAGAUUAUAAUCUCCUUCAAGCAGAGACUCAUCUUCUUGCACAACUCUGAAUGCCACUGAAGUCAGAAACUGCACAGCCAUCAACACCGAGAUAAUGCAGAAGCAGGGCUGAACAGAGGACAAUAACGUUUUCUGUGUCACAUUAGCAUCUCAGUGAUAUCUUAAAUGGGAAUGAAAAUCAUGAUAAGCAGUGUGGACACCAUUCAUUCCAAAAGCCAGUAUUUAAAACCCUGAUGUAUUUUGCAAUUCUAUAUCUGAAAGAACAGCUAGGAGUGCCAUGAUCUGCCCCUUUGACAGCCAUGGGAGGUAGAUAUAGAGAAGACAGCCUCAGGCAUGGAUCUGCAGUCACUGCCAGGUACAAAAUUCUCCAAUUUGCAAUGCCACGUGAAAGAUCUCCUGCUGUUUGAGUGCACGUAUGGCCAGCCCAUCUACGAGCAGAUUAAGUAACCCUUCUUUGAUGGACAAUUUUGUUCAACUUUCUUCAUCACAGGCUAAAGUACAUGAGAAGGUAUUAUCAACAUCUGAAAAUAAACUUGCUAUAAUGAGAUUAAUAUGGUUGGUUGAUUACAUUCAGUCAUCAUUUUCUAACCCUGAUUUUAAUUUCGCUCCACAUUUUAAGUUCGUGCUAUAUAAACUCAUAUUUACUUUCUUAUGCUCCUCACUGCACUCAGUUUUCCAAGUUGCUUUCUAAUUUGCU
ensembl:lncRNA